CUAUUCGUUUUUUUCGCCACAUGAUGGCGCGAUCGAAGUCGGUGUAAAAUACACCUGGGACUGCUAAUGCCAAACAUUGCAGCAGAACAACAUGAUGAACCGUUACAGCUGCUCACCUGCAGGAGAUGAGGCCCAAACCCAGGUGUGUUUAGUGAGACAGUGUCAGUGAUGGAGGGAGAUUCUGUCACUCUACACACUAAUCUUAAUGAAAUACAUAAAGACGAUGACAUACUGUGGAAUGUUGUACCUGAACACGUUCUGAUAGCUGAAAUCAACAAAGCUGCUGGAAUCUUCUCCACAUAUAAUGGUACUGAUGAGAGAUUCAGAGACAUACUGAAGCUGGACAAUCAAACUGGAUCUCUGACCAUCACAAACAUCACAACUCUACAUGCUGGAGACUAUGAAGUAAAGAUAAGUGGAGCUAAUCUGUCAUCAAAAACAUUCUAUGUUUCUGUCUAUGGUGAGUAAAGAUAAUUUAUUCAAACACUCACAUAUUCUUGUUCAAUUAAAAGAAUAAAAGCUUAAAAAAGCUUAAAAGCUUAUUUGACUGCAUUUGUAGCAUAUUAACACAUACACACAAACAAUUCUGAGUCAUCCCUUUUUUUAAUGGA